GACGAACGCUGGCGGCGUGCUUAACACAUGCAAGUCGAACGGAAAGGCCCUGCUUUUGUGGGGUGCUCGAGUGGCGAACGGGUGAGUAACACGUGAGUAACCUGCCCUUGACUUUGGGAUAACUUCAGGAAACUGGGGCUAAUACCGGAUAGGAGCUCCUGCUGCAUGGUGGGGGUUGGAAAGUUUCGGCGGUUGGGGAUGGACUCGCGGCUUAUCAGCUUGUUGGUGGGGUAGUGGCUGACCAAGGCUUCGACGGCUAGCCGGCCUUGGAGGGUGACCGGCCACAAUGGUACUGAGGUACGGCGCAGACGCCUACGUGAGGCAGCAGUGGGGAAUAUUGCACAGCAAGGCGACGCCUGAUGCAGCAACGCCGCGUGCGGGAUGACGUCCUUCGAGUUGUGAACCGCUUUCGCCUGUGACGAAGCGUUAGUGACGGUAAUGGGUAAAGAAGCACCGGCUAACUACGUG
rnacentral:rRNA from 1 species